AUUGAACGCUGGCGGCAUGCCUUACACAUGCAAGUCGAACGGCAGCACGGGAGCAAUCCUGGUGGCGAGUGGCGAACGGGUGAGUAAUAUAUCGGAACGUGCCCAGUCGUGGGGGAUAACGCAGCGAAAGCUGUGCUAAUACCGCAUACGAUCUCUGGGUGAUAGCGGGGGACCGUAAGGCCUCGCGCGAUUGGAGCGGCCGAUAUCAGAUUAGCUAGUUGGUGGGGUAAAGGCCCACCAAGGCGACGAUCUGUAGCUGGUCUGAGAGGACGACCAGCCACACUGGAACUGAGACACGGUCCAGACUCCUACGGGAGGCAGCAGUGGGGAAUUUUGGACAAUGGGCGCAAGCCUGAUCCAGCAAUGCCGCGUGCAGGAUGAAGGCCUUCGGGUUGUAAACUGCUUUUGUACGGAACGAAACGGCGAGCUCUAAUAAAGUUUGCUAAUGACGGUACCGUAAGAAUAAGCACCGGCUAACUACGUGCCAGCCGCCGCAGUAA
rnacentral:rRNA from 1 species